UAAAUACCGAUACAUGUUCUGUCUUCUGUGGCUUAGACCCAAAAUUCCCAAAUCCUCUGUUCCUUCGCCAACUGCCCAAGGCGAUUCCUCUCCCCAGAUGCGACUAUGAGCUCAGCGACAGCAACUCUUCACCAGAUUUUUCGUCUCUCCGGUGUCUACGACAGCGACUCCACCAAUGUAGCAGAAAUGGAGUGAAUGGCCGCCCUACUUGAAGUGGUUGGGCAGCUCUGCCAUCUGCCGAGCAUUCGGAGAUAUCAAAGAAAUGAAACCAGAUACUGGAGCUACGACUCUUUCAGGGUUGUUCAAGAACUGCAUCUGGUAGCAAUACUACAUUUAGCUUUUGGUGAUAUUACUUGUGCUUCUUUUUUCUGACUUACAAAUUUGGGUUUUAAAAAAAAAAUAACUCUGGAUAUGGUUGCCAUCGUUCUUUUUUGUGCAACUUUUCUGAAAUACUGAAUUGGUAAUGUGUCUGCUUAUUUACAUAUACAUAUCUAUGUGUGUGUGUAUAUAUAUAUAUUGAUUGCUUUGAUCCA